CCUACGGGAGGCAGCAGUAGGGAAUCUUCCACAAUGGACGCAAGUCUGAUGGAGCAACGCCGCGUGAGUGAAGAAGGGUUUCGGCUCGUAAAGCUCUGUUGGUAGUGACGAAAGAUAGAGGUAGUAACUGGCCUUUAUUUGACGGUAAUUACUUAGAAAGUCACGGCUAACUACGUGACAGCAGCCCCGGUAAUACGUAGGUGGCAAGCGUUGUCCGGAUUUGGUGGGCGUAAAGCGAGUGUAGGCGGUCCAAUAAGUCAGAUGUGAAAGCCUUCGGCUCAACCGGAGAAUUGCAUCAGAAACUGUUGAACUUGAGUGCAGAAGAGGAGGGUGGAACUCCAUGUGUAGCGGUGGAAUGCGUAGAUAUAUGGAAGAACACCAGUGGCGAAGGCGGCUUGCUGGUCUGCAACUGACGCUGAGGCUCGAAAGCAUGGGUAGCGAACAGGAUUAGAUACCCGGGUAGUC
rnacentral:rRNA from 1 species